rnacentral:rRNA from 1 species
AGUGAACGCUGGCGGUAGGCCUAACACAUGCAAGUCGAACGGCAGCACAGAGGAGCUUGCUCCUUGGGUGGCGAGUGGCGGACGGGUGAGGAAUACAUCGGAAUCUACUCUGUCGUGAGGGAUAACGUAGGGAAACUUACGCUAAUACCGCAUACGACCUACGGGUGAAAGCAGGGGAUCUUCGGACCUUGCGCGAUUGAAUGAGCCGAUGUCGGAUUAGCUAGUUGGCGGGGUAAAGGCCCACCAAGGCAACGAUCCGUAGCUGGUCUGAGAGGAUGAUCAGCCACGCUGGAACUGAGACACGGUCCAGACUCCUACGGGAGGCAGCAGUGGGGAAUAUUGGACAAUGGGCGCAAGCCUGAUCCAGCCAUACUGCGUGGGUGAAGAAGGCCUUCGGGUUGUAAAGCCCUUUUGUUGGGAAAGAAAUCCAGCUGGCUAAUACCCGGUUGGGAUGACGGUACCCAAAGAAUAAGCACCGGCUAACUUCGUGCCAGCCGCCGCGGUAA